GACUGCUCUGGUGGCUUAGCAGUUAGAGUGUUCACCUCUGAUGCUGGAGGUCAUGGGUUCGAUCCCUAGCCGAGUCA